rnacentral:misc_RNA from 1 species
GAAGUGCGAUAAGCAAUGCGAAUUGCAGAACCGUGAGUCAUCAGAUUUUUGAACGCAACUGGCGCCAGCAGGUCCUCCUGCCGGCAUGCUUGUUUCAGUGUCUUAUUUUCUCCUCACCCAAACCUUAAUGCGAGAGAUACCCUUCUCUUGCCAAACAGGAAAGCACUCUGCGCUCUGCAGGCAGCUUCUAGACUCGUCUUUAAGCUGCGCUCAAUGCUGUCGUCACAUUUUUACAAGUGUGAACUCAUUGGGAGUAGAGGCAUGUAGCUUCGGCUACCAGUGCUUAGUCACACAAACUUUCUUUGCAUCUGAAAUCAAGCAGGAUCACCCGCUGAACUUAA